rnacentral:rRNA from 1 species
UGAGUACAAGAUGCUACGGCAUUGAAGCAGUCUAUGUCAUACUUCCAAGAAAAGCUUGCAAUGUCAUAAACAAAUAAUGCCUGUACCAUAACCGACACAGGUGGGUAGGUAGAGUAUACUAAGGGGCGCGAGAUAACUCUCUCUAAGGAACUCGGCAAAAUGACUCCGUAACUUCGGGAGAAGGAGUACCUUAUUUUAUAAGGUUGCAAUAACAAGGUCCAAGCAACUGUUUACCAAAAACACAGGUCUCCGCUAAGUCGUAAGACGAUGUAUGGGGGCUGACGCCUGCCCAGUGCCAGAAGGUUAAAGAAGUUGGUUAGCAUUAGCGAAGCUGAUAACUGAAGCCCUGGUGAACGGCGGCCGUAACAAUAACGGUCCUAAGGUAGCGAAAUUCCUUGUCGGGUAAGUUCCGACCCGCACGAAAGGCGUAAUGAUUUGGAUACUGUCUCGGAGAGGGGCUCGGUGAAAUAGACUUGUCUGUGAAGAUGCGGACUACCUGCACCUGGACAGAAAGACCCUAUGAAGCUUUACUGUAACUUGAGAUUGAAAUUGGACUUUAUUUGCGCAGUAUAGGUGGGAGACCUCGAAAGUAUUCUUGCGGGAAUAUUGGAGUCAUCAGUGAGAUACCACUCUUAUAAUGUUAGAUUUCUAACUUUGUAUCAUUAUCUGGUCAAAGAACAGUUUCAGGCGGGCAGUUUGACUGGGGCGGUCGCCUCCCAAAUGGUAACGGAGGCGCACAAAGGUUUCCUCUGAACGUGUAGAAAUCGUAUCUAGAGUGUAAAGGCAUAAGGAAGCUUGACUGUGAGACCUACAAGUCGAGCAGGGACGAAAGUCGGUCUUAGUGAUCUGACGGUGCUGAGUGGAAAGGCCGUCACUCAACGGAUAAAAGUUACUCUAAGGAUAACAAGCUGAUCUCCCCCAAGAGUUCACAUCGACGGGGAGGUUUGGCACCUCGAUGCCGGCUCGUCGCAUCCUGGGGCGGUAGUACGUCCCAAGGGUUGGGCUGUUCGCCCAUGAAAGCGGUACGCGAGCUGGGUUCAGAACGUCGUGAGACAGUUCGGUCCAUAUCCGGUGUAGGCGUUAGAAUAUUGAGAGGAGCCUUCUUUAGUACGAGAGGACCGAGAAGGACAUACCUCUGGUGUACCAGUUAUCGUGCCAACGGUAAACGCUGGGUAGCUAUGUAUGGAGAGGAUAACCGCUGAAAGCAUCUAAGUGGGAAGCCCACCUCAAGAUAAGUAUUCC